UCCCUUGUCUACACUGGUCAGAGUCUUAUAGGUGUGGUCUGGUCCUCGUUCAGUACAGGGAAGUUAAUUGGGUCGUCUUUGCUCUGGAACAGGCCCUCGUCAAGGCUGUCAACGCCAUCAUUAUUACAGAAUAUCUGCAGGCCCUCCUGACCACUUCCAGGAAACCAUCUUCCGUGCAGAGGAGGAGGAUUGUCAGCAAGAUAGCAGAAGAUCAUAGAAUGCUGCAAACCGUCUUUAAAGAGUGCUUAGGUCCUGCGGCUGGUCCCCUCAAGGAUCCUCUCAAAGCAAUUUUAGAACUUAUUCAAACUUCUGAUGCUGAGGGAAUGAAAAUAGCCCUUCUGCCCAUUCUCAAAGAAUUUCCUGAUCUGAGGAAGGAACAUCUGAGUGCGGUGCUGGACAUCAAAGACUCGCUCAGCCGAGAAGACCGAGCUGCUCUCUUGAAGGCAUUUCACGAUAAUUACAGGGAAUCAGAAACAGAAGCAAACUUGCUUUUUGCAGAUAUAGAAGUAAAACCUAGAAAAUACGGACUCUGUGGCUGCCUCUGCUGUUAGCAAAGGUAAGUGUGUGCAUGAGUGUGCUUGUGUGUAACACGCAUACCUGCACAGGUGCGGGCAUAGAAUCAUAGAAUGGUUUGGGUUGGAAGGGUCCUCA
rnacentral:lncRNA from 1 species